rnacentral:rRNA from 1 species
GUACACUCCUACGGGAGGCAGCAGUGGGGAAUAUUGGACAAUGGGCGCAAGCCUGAUCCAGCCAUGCCGCGUGAGUGAUGAAGGCCCUAGGGUUGUAAAGCUCUUUCACCGGUGAAGAUAAUGACGGUAACCGGAGAAGAAGCCCCGGCUAACUUCGUGCCAGCAGCCGCGGUAAUACGAAGGGGGCUAGCGUUGUUCGGAUUUACUGGGCGUAAAGCGCACGUAGGCGGACUAUUAAGUCAGGGGUGAAAUCCCGGGGCUCAACCCCGGAACUGCCUUUGAUACUGGUAGUCUUGAGUUCGAGAGAGGUGAGUGGAAUUCCGAGUGUAGAGGUGAAAUUCGUAGAUAUUCGGAGGAACACCAGUGGCGAAGGCGGCUCACUGGCUCGAUACUGACGCUGAGGUGCGAAAGCGUGGGGAGCAAACAGGAUUAGAUACCCUUGUAGUCCCAU